rnacentral:rRNA from 1 species
ACUCAAAGGAAUUGACGGGGACCCGCACAAGUGGUGGAGCGUGUGGUUUAAUUCGAUACUAAGCGAAGAACCUUACCCAGGCUUGACAUCUAGAGAAAGCCCCUGAAAGGGGGACGUGCCGCAAGGAGCUCUAAGACAGGUGUUGCAUGGUUGUCGUCAGCUCGUGCUGUGAAGUGUCCCGUUCAGUCGGUUAACGAGCGCAACCCGCAUCCUGUGUUGUACUUUUCACAGGAAACUGCCCCAGUUAAUGGGGAGGAAGGUGCGGAUGACGUCAAAUCAGCAUGGCCCUUAUGCCUGGGGCUACACACGCGCUACAAUGGGUAGUAACAAUGGGUCGCUAAGCCGCAAGGCGGAGCUAAUCCUACCAAACCUACCCUCAGUUCGGAUUGGAGGCUGCAACUCGCCUCCAUGAAGCCGGAAUCACUAGUAACGGCCGGUCAGCCAUACGGCCGUGAAUACGUUCUCGGGUCUUGCACACACCGCCCGU